UCGAGAGGUGGCAACCGUUGUUCGGAAUUACUGGGCGUAAAGGGCGCGUAGGCGGUCCCAUAAGUCCUGUGUGAAAUCCCCCGGCUCAACUGGGGAAUUGCACGGGAAACUGUGAGGCUUGAGUUCGGGAGAGGGAAGCGGAAUUCCGGGUGUAGCGGUGAAAUGCGUAGAUAUCCGGAGGAACACCGGUGGCGAAGGCGGCUUCCUGGACCGACACUGACGCUGAGGCGCGAAAGCUAGGGGAGCAAACGGG
rnacentral:rRNA from 1 species